GUUUUAUCAUUGCUUAGUGGACAUGGCAUCUGCCCGGUAAGCAGAACACUGUGGGUUCGAUUCCCAUCCCUGAACACU
rnacentral:tRNA from 1 species